rnacentral:rRNA from 1 species
UACGGAGGUCUCGAGCGUUGUUCGGAUUCAUUGGGCGUAAAGGGUGCGUAGGUGGCGUGGUAAGUCUGGUGUGAAAUCCCGGGGCUCAACCCCGGAACUGCACUGGAUACUGCCAUGCUUGAGUACUGGAGAGGAGAUUGGAAUUUACGGUGUAGCAGUGAAAUGCGUAGAUAUCGUAAGGAAGACCAGUGGCGAAGGCGAAUCUCUGGACAGUUACUGACACUGAGGCACGAAGGCCAGGGGAGCAAACGGG